AAUACCUCAUAAGUCUUUACGGAGAAAGCUUUAUGCGCCAAUGGAUGAGCCCGCACUUGAUUAGUUUGUUGGUGGGGUAAUGGCCUACCAAGACUGUGAUCAAUAGCUGAUUUGAGAGGAUGAUCAGCCACAUUGGGACUGAGACACGGCCCAAACUCCUACGGGAGGCAGCAGUAGGGAAUCUUGCACAAUGGAGGAAACUCUGAUGCAGCGAUGCCGCGUGAGUGAAGAAGGCCUUUGGGUUGUAAAGCUCUUUCGUCGGGGAAGAAAAUGACUGUACCCGAAUAAGAAGGUCCGGCUAACUUCGUGCCAGCAGCCGCGGUAAUACGAAGGGACCUAGCGUAGUUCGGAAUUACUGGGCUUAAAGAGUUCGUAGGUGGUUAAAAUAGUUGGUGGUGAAAUCCCAGAGCUUAACUCUGGAACUGCCAUCAAAACUUUUUAGCUAGAGUAUGAUAGAGGAAAGCAGAAUUUCUAGUGUAGAGGUGAAAUUCGUAGAUAUUAGAAAGAAUACCAAUUGCGAAGGCAGCUUUCUGGAUCAUUACUGACACUGAGGAACGAAAGCAUGGGUAGCGAAGAGGAUUAGAUACCCUCGUAGUCCAUGCCGUAAACGAUGUGUGUUAGACGUUGGAAAUUUAUUUUUCAGUGUCGCAGCAAAAGCGAUAAACACACCGCCUGGGGAGUACGACCGCAAGGUUAAAACUCAAAUGAAUUGACGGGGACCCGCACAAGUAGUGGAGCAUGUGGUUUAAUUCGAAGAUACGCGCAGAACCUUACCAACACUUGACAUGUUCGUCGCGACUCUAAGAGAUUAGAGUUUUCGGUUCGGCCGGACGAAACACAGGUGCUGCAUGGCUGUCGUCAGCUCGUGUCGUG
rnacentral:rRNA from 1 species